rnacentral:rRNA from 1 species
AGUAAAUUGGUUAAGUUAGAAAGGGCGCACGGUGGAUGCCUUGGCACUAGGAGCCGAAGAAGGACGGGACUAACACCGAUAUGCUUUGGGGAGCUGUACGUAAGCGUUGAUCCAGAGAUUUCCGAAUGGGGGAACCCACUAUCUUUAGUCGGAUAGUAUCCUUACGUGAAUACAUAGCGUGAGGAAGGCAGACCCAGGGAACUGAAACAUCUAAGUACCUGGAGGAAGAGAAAGAAAAAUCGAUUUCCUGAGUAGCGGCGAGCGAAACGGAAAGAGCCCAAACCAAGAAGCUUGCUUCUUGGGGUUGUAGGACACUCUAUACGGAGUUACAAAAGAAAGUUAUAAAUGAAGCGGUCUGGAAAGGCCCGCCAAAGACGGUAACAGCCCGGUAGUUGAAAUGGCUUUCCCUCCAGAGUGGAUCCUGAGUACGGCGGAACACGUGAAAUUCCGUCGGAAUCCGGGAGGACCAUCUCCCAAGGCUAAAUACUCCCUAGUGACCGAUAGUGAACCAGUACCGUGAGGGAAAGGUGAAAAGCACCCCGGAAGG